AUGAUCCGGCUCCUCCUCAUCUUCGCUUCCCUCCUCCGACUGCUGCCGCCGGGCAGCGCGGCAGAUCCCCUUCCCUGCUCGCCCAGAACAUGUGGCAACCUGAGCAUAGCCUACCCAUUCUGGCUGGAGGAGGACGGCCAGCCGCCAUGCGGUGCCCCGUCCUUCCAGCUCAACUGCAACGCCAGCCAAGCUCUCCUCAGCCGCUCCAUGUUCGGGAGCUACCAAGUCGUCCAAGUCUUCGCCGAGAACUCCUCCUUCGUCGCCGUGGACAACAACCUCCCGCUCGACGACGGCUGCCCCAAGUUUUGGUUCAACAUCUCGCUAGGUCUCGGGCUGAGUCCGUUCGUCGUCAGCAGCAAGAACAUGGAGCUGCUCGUCCUCGACAACUGCAGCAAGCAGGAGACGCCGCCGGGAUUCAACCGCACAAGUUGCGCCAACUAGUCCUUCUACCGACUUGGCGGCGAGUAUGGCAGCCACCGCAAACUGGCCGGUCUCCCGCCGGCCUGCCGUCUCUCGGUCGUGCCGGUUCUUGGUGUUCCGGACGGCGACAGUUACGUCUCGAGCAUGAGACAGGGGUUCCUGCUUGAGUGGACGGUACCGUCAGACGUGUGCCCCAAGUGCGAGGCAAGCGGCGGGCAGUGCAGGUAUGCCAACGACGGCACCGGGUUUUCCUGCAGCUGCGACGACGGCCUGCGCCCCGACAAGUGCGGUAGCAAGGGGACUAGCAAGAACAUUAUUCUAAUAGCUGUGACAUCAGCCGCUGGAGCCUUGCUCUUUACAUGUAUUUAUGUCUUGGUAUGGCGCAAAAAAUGGAAAAGACUAAGGUUUCUCCUUUGCAAGAAGACUAGCAGCAACACCGAAAAGAAUUAUGAGGCCAUGAUAGUAUCGCACGGAUCCCUAGCUCCAAAAGGAUACAUGUAUUCAGAGGUAAUGAAGAUAACAUCUUCUCGCAACGAUCAGCUUGGAAAAGGAGGUUAUGGUGUUGUUUUCAAAGGAAGACUGCAUGAUGGUCGUCUGGUCGCAGUAAAAUUCUUGCAUGACUGCAAAGGAAAUGGGGACGAGUUUGUUAAUGAAGUUAUGAGCAUUGGCAGGACCUCUCAUGUUAAUGUUGUUAGCUUAUAUGGGUUUUGUUUGGAGGGGUCAAAGCGAGCUCUUAUAUAUGAGUACAUGCCCAACGGUUCCUUGGAUAAGUACAUUUAUUCAGAGCACCCCAAAGAAAUUUUAGGAUGGGAGAGGCUUUACGGGAUAGCUAUAGGGAUUGCUCGUGGCCUCGAAUACUUGCACCAUAGCUGUAAUACACGUAUCGUCCAUUUCGAUAUCAAGCCCCAAAAUAUCCUUCUAGACAAAGAUUUUAGCCCAAAGAUUGCUGAUUUUGGUCUAGCUAAAUUGUGUCAUACAAAAGAGAGCAAGGUUUCAAUGACUGGUACUAGAGGAACAAUUGGAUUCAUCGCCCCAGAAGUCCACUCGCGAACCUUUGGAGUGGUUUCAACAAAAUCGGAUGUUUAUAGUUAUGGAAUGAUGCUUCUAGAAAUGGUUGGAGGUAGGAGAAACGUAAAAUCAAUUGUUGCAAAAUCCAGCGAAAAGUAUUUUCCAGACUGGAUUUAUGAGCACUUUGCACAAGAUGAUGGAUUACAAGCAUGUGAAGUCACGAGUGGAAUUGAGGAAAUCGCAAGAAAGAUGACAUUAAUUGGCUUGUGGUGCGUACAAAUAUUGCCUGCAUAUCGCCCUACCAUAACCAAAGUUCUAGAAAUGUUUGACAGAAGCUCAGAUGACAUGGGCAUGCCACCGAAGCAAAACUUCUCUGGAUUGCUUGAAAGUUCAGCUCACAAUAUGGAUGCACAGAGUUCAAGUUCCACCAGAUCUGAGGAGAUCAGCCUUGUGAAUUCAAAAAUCCUACAACAAUAG
rnacentral:rRNA from 1 species